CCUUUCCAGUUGGAAAAAUAAUACUACUUUCUAUGGUAGGUAAAUAAAGAAACUAAUUGGAAAAUGUUUAGAGCCAAGUGAUAGCCAUGUGAAACUAACUAGUAUCUCUCGAUGUAAUAAUUAUAAUAGUUCCUUACCAGCUAUAAGAUGGACAUCGAUAAUUUAAGUAACCUUAGUCACGAUGAUCUUAUAGAAUCAACUCAAUUAACCCUUGGAACGCUACUUAGGACUGAUCCUCUGCUUAGUGAUCUUCCACAAGAUAUUAUUUUAGAAGAAAUUGUAUCUCAGAUUGCUGUGGAAAAUGGACAGUCAAUAACAAUAUUUAUAUCUAGAGACCCAGAACCUACUCUUAAAGUAAUUGUACCACAAAAUGCAACAGUUCGUGAUCUGAAAAAAGCAACGGCAAGACAUUUUGAACUCCAACAAAAGAGAACAGGGCUCAAAGUGAAGAUAUCUUGGAAAUACAUUUGGAAAACUUACCAUUUGGCAUAUGAUAGUUUAAUUUUAGAUAAUGAUGACCAGUGCAUUGAAGACUAUGGUGUAUGUAAUAAAGUGGUUUUAACAUUUAAAAAAAAUAAAAAAAUAAAACAAUAAGUAUAUUCCAA